CCUUUUUUCUGAGGUGUGGCUCGCACCUGUCUAACUAAACUUGAGCUACCCAAUUUCAACACGGUUGCAUCGGUUGGCUGUCAAACAGUGCCUCGGCGCUGGGAGGCGGUCGACACACAACACAAACACUUUUGAUGAUCUAGGAUUUUGAAUGAAGUUCAUUUUUACGAUGGAACCGACUGGUAAUGCGGUCGUCUAAAUCUAAAAAACAACUUUUGGCAACGGAUCUCUUGGUUCUCCCAUCGAUGAAGAACGCAGCGAAUUGCGAUAAGUAAUGUGAAUUGCAGAAGUGAAUCAUCGAAUCUUUGAACGCACCUUGCGCUCCCGGCAGAUCUAAUCUGGGGAGCAUGCCUGUUUGAGGGCCGCGAAUUGUUUCGAACGACAGCUUUUUUUCUUUGUGAAAAAGUUGGCGGAUCGGUAUUGAGGGUUUGCCAUUUACCAUGGCUCCCUCGAAAUGCAUUAGCGCAUCCAUUUGAUAGGCAAGACGGACGAAAGCUCGAUUUUCGCCCUCUCUUCCCUGCCGGGUUUUGAUAAUAUCAGGACUUCGGAGGCGGAGAAAGGGUUAGAGCUGGACGCAACGUUUUGCUGUUUGGAGUGCUUCUGAAACCCGCCCAUGCCUCUUUCUUCGGAAAAGGAAGGGAUUUUUUUCAAUUCAUCGGCCUCAGAUUGGUAGGACUACCCGCUGAACUU
rnacentral:rRNA from 1 species